UCAAGCAGAAAGGGCACAGGGCGGAUGCCUUGGCACUAAGGGCCGAAGAAAGACGUGAUAAGCUGCGAUAAGCUUCGGGGAGGAGCAAAUAUCCAUUGAUCCGGAGAUCUCUGAAUGGGGAAACCCACAUGAGCAGACCUCAUGUAUCCAUACGCCAAUCCAUAACGUAUGGAGGGGAACCCGGGGAACUGAAACAUCUAAGUACCCGGAGGAAAAGAAAGAAAACUCGAUUCCGUAAGUAGCGGCGAGCGAACGCGGAAGAGCCUAAACCGGUGUGCGUGCACACCGGGGUUACGGACUGCAUUUAAGAUUCUGCAAUGUUAGUGGAACGGUUUUGGGAAAGCCGGCCGGAGAGGGUGAAAGCCCCGUAGACGAAAACAGAGCAGACUGAGCAGGAUCCAGAGUACCGCGGGACACGAGAAACCCUGCGGGAAGUGAGGGGGACCACCCCCUAAGGCUAAAUACCACUUAGUGACCGAUAGCGCAUAGUACUGUGAAGGAAAGGUGAAAAGGACCCCGGGAGGGGAGUGAAAGAGAACCUGAAACCCUGUGUCUACAAGCUGUGGGAGUGCUUUAUAUGCACGACCGCGUACUUUUUGUAGAACGGUCCGGCGAGUUGCGCUCACUGGCAAGGUUAAGCACCGGAGGUGCGGAGCCGUAGGGAAACCAAGUCUUAAGAGGGCCAGAGUCAGUGGGGGCAGACCCGAAACCGGGUGAUCUAUCCAUGUCCAGGUUGAAGCUGCCGUAAGAGGCAGUGGAGGACCGAACCCACAUCCGUUGAAAAGGGUGGGGAUGAGGUGUGGAUAGGGGAGAAAUUCCAAUCGAACCCGGAGAUAGCUGGUUCUCCUCGAAAUAGCUUUAGGGCUAGCCUUGGUAGAGAUUUGCGGAGGUAGAGCACUGAAUUUCCUAGGGGGCGUCAAAGCCUACCGAAGAAUAUCAAACUCCGAAUGCCGUGUAAUUGCUUACCAGGAGUCAGACUGCACGAGAUAAGUUGGGCAGUCAAAAGGGAAAGAGCCCAGACCUUCAGUUAAGGUCCCAAAGUGUGCGUUAAGUGGAAAAGGAUGUGGGAUUUCGAAGACAACCAGGAUGUUGGCUCAGAAGCAGCCAUUCAUUCAAAGAGUGCGUAAUAGCUCACUGGUCGAGAGGUCCUGCGCCGAAAAUGUCCGGGGCUGAAACGCGCCACCGAAACUAAGGAAUCUGAAAAGAUUGGUAGAGGAGCAUUGCAUGCGGGAAGAAGCAGUACCGUAAGGAGCUGUGGACUGCAUGGAAGAGAGAAUGCCGGAAUGAGUAGCGAGAUAGAGGUGGGAAUCCUCUAGGCCGAAUAUCCAAGGUUUCCAGGGUAAAGCUGAUCUGCCCUGGGUAAGUCGGGGCCUAAGGUGAGGACGAGAGUCGUAGCCGAUGGACAACAGGUGGAGAUUCCUGUACUAUGAUAUGACAGAACUGUGGGGACACGUGCAGAGAGCGGAAGCCGGGAAUGGGAUCCCGGUGCAAGCGAGGUACCAGCCGCAUUGGAAAAACCGUGUGGCAAUGGGAAGACGUGAUGCGGAGUGAAGUUUAGUAAUGAAGUCCGUGAGCUGUGCGUCAAGAAAAGCCGCUAUUGUUCAUACCAUACCCGUACCGUAAACCGACACAGGUGGAUGAGGAGAGAAUCCUAAGGCCGGCGGAAGAAGCAUUGUCAAGGAACUCGGCAAAAUGACCCCGUAACUUCGGGAGAAGGGGUGCCUGCGAGAGCAGGCCGCAGAGAAUAGGCUCAAGCAACUGUUUAGCAAAAACACAGGUCUAUGCGAAACCGAAAGGUGAGGUAUAUGGGCUGACGCCUGCCCGGUGCUGGAAGGUUAAGAGGAGAGGUUAGCGGUAACGCGAAGCUUUGAAUUUAAGCCCCAGUAAACGGCGGCCGUAACUAUAACGGUCCUAAGGUAGCGAAAUUCCUUGUCGGGUAAGUUCCGACCCGCACGAAAGGCGUAAUGAUUUGAGCGCUGUCUCGACAAUGCAUCCGGUGAAAUUGAAGUACCAGUGAAGAUGCUGGUUAC
rnacentral:rRNA from 1 species